UAUAUUGAGAGUUUGAUCCUGGCUCAGGAUGAACGCUGGCGGCGUGGAUAAGGCAUGUAAGUCGAACGAGCCAGUGCGUAGCACUGGGAUAACCAAUAACCAAGAAACAAUAACCAAAUUUAUUUUGGAAUUUGUAUCUUGCAUCUUGGAAAUUCCAGCGCUACGCGCUGGUUAGUGGCAAACGGGUUAGUAACACGUAGGUAACUUUCCUUGAAGUCCGGCAUAAUUCCGCGAAAGCGGGACUAAUUCCGGAUGGAAAUGAGGGGGCGAAAGCCAUUCUCAUUUAAAGCCCCGCCUUGCGGGGCGCUUCAAGAGAGGCCUGCGUCCUAUCAGCUAGUU
rnacentral:ncRNA from 1 species